rnacentral:rRNA from 1 species
UACGUAGGGUGCGAGCGUUGUCCGGAAUUAUUGGGCGUAAAGAGCUUGUAGGCGGUUUGUCGCGUCUGCUGUGAAAUUCCAGGGCUUAACCCGUGGCUGCAGUGGGUACGGGCAGACUAGAGUGUGGUAGGGGAGACUGGAAUUCCUGGUGUAGCGGUGAAAUGCGCAGAUAUCAGGAGGAACACCGAUGGCGAAGGCAGGUCUCUGGGCCACUACUGACGCUGAGAAGCGAAAGCAUGGGGAGCGAACAGG